GCUGGGCGUGGUGGCGCAUGCCUGUAAUCCCAGCUACUUGGGAGGCUGAGGCAGGAGAAUUGCUUGAAUCCAGGAAGUGGAGGAUGCAGUGAGCUGGGAUCGCGCCACUGCACUCCAGUCUGGGUGACAGAGUGAGACUCUGUCUCCA
rfam:Homo sapiens chromosome X, GRCh38 reference primary assembly.